AAAUCCGUCGAAUUUGAAAGUCGUGAGGGUUCAAGUCCCUCUAUCCCCA
rnacentral:tRNA from 1 species